rnacentral:rRNA from 1 species
AGCAGCCGCCGCGGGAAAACGUAGGGUGCAAGCGUUAAUCGGAAUUACUGGGCGUAAAGCGUGCGCAGGCGGUUAUAUAAGACAGAUGUGAAAUCCCCGGGCUCAACCUGGGAACUGCAUUUGUGACUGUAUAGCUAGAGUACGGCAGAGGGGGAUGGAAUUCCGCGUGUAGCAGUGAAAUGCGUAGAUAUGCGGAGGAACACCGAUGGCGAAGGCAAUCCCCUGGGCCUGUACUGACGCUCAUGCACGAAAGCGUGGGGAGCAAACAGGAUUAGAUACCCCAGUAGUCCCUGUCUCUUAUAA